UACGGAGGGGGCUAGCGUUGUUCGGAAUUACUGGGCGUAAAGCGCACGUAGGCGGCUUUGUAAGUUAGAGGUGAAAGCCCGGGGGCUCAACUCCGGAACUGCCUUUAAGACUGCAUCGCUAGAAUUGUGGAGAGGUAAGUGGAAUUCCGAGUGUAGAGGUGAAAUUCGUAGAUAUUCGGAAGAACACCAGUGGCGAAGGCGACUUACUGGACACAUAUUGACGCUGAGGUGCGAAAGCGUGGGGAGCAAACAGG
rnacentral:rRNA from 1 species